GCUCAGUAUUCAGUGUAGAGUCU
rnacentral:miRNA from 1 species